GAGUAAUACUUAGGAAUCUACCUAGUAGUGGGGGAUAGCUCGGGGAAACUCGAAUUAAUACCGCAUACGUCCUACGGGAGAAAGCAGGGGAUCAUUAGACCUUGCGCUAUUAGAUGAGCCUAAGUCGGAUUAGCUAGAUGGUGGGGUAAAGGCCUACCAUGGCGACGAUCUGUAGCUGGUCUGAGAGGAUGAUCAGCCACACCGGGACUGAGACACGGCCCGGACUCCUACGGGAGGCAGCAGUGGGGAAUAUUGGACAAUGGGGGGAACCCUGAUCCAGCCAUGCCGCGUGUGUGAAGAAGGCCUUUUGGUUGUAAAGCACUUUAAGCAGUGAAGAAGACUCUUCGGUUAAUACCCGGGGACGAUGACAUUAGCUGCAGAAUAAGCACCGGCUAACUCUGUGCCAGCAGCCGCGGUAAUACAGAGGGUGCAAGCGUUAAUCGGAAUUACUGGGCGUAAAGCGAGCGUAGGUGGCUUGAUAAGUCAGAUGUGAAAUCCCCGGGCUUAACCUGGGAACUGCAUCUGAAACUGUUAGGCUAGAGUAGGUGAGAGGGAAGUAGAAUUUCAGGUGUAGCGGUGAAAUGCGUAGAGAUCUGAAGGAAUACCGAUGGCGAAGGCAGCUUCCUGGCAUCAUACUGACACUGAGGCUCGAAAGCGUGGGUAGCAAACAGGAUUAGAUACCCNGGNAGUCCACGCCGUNNCGAUGUCUACUAGUCGUNGGGUCCCUUGAGGACUUANUGACGCAGCUAACGCAAUAGUA
rnacentral:rRNA from 1 species